rnacentral:misc_RNA from 1 species
GCUAAAGGAGAGAAAGAUCUUGGUGGUGGCUGCACAGAUGAAGCCUGUGGUUUCUUGGCAAUAAAUGCGUGCAAGGGAUAGUUCAAUCGAGCACCAAUGCAGUGGGAAAGAAGAGAAGGGCUUAAAGGAGAGUAAUUAGAAACAGGAUUUAGUUUUGUCGAGACAUUUGACUCAAGAAGGAUAUGGAAAACGACAUUCAUUGCACGAUUAUCCGUCACUCCUUGCCCUAGGCCGCGUCCAUCAUCCCUGGACAAACGACGGUCGAGCAUAAUCUCUAACCAUCCAUCUUUG